UAGGGAAUCUUCGGCAAUGGGGGGAACCCUGACCGAGCAACGCCGCGUGAGUGAAGAAGGUUUUCGGAUCGUAAAGCUCUGUUGUUAGAGAACGUGUGUGAGAGUGGAAAGUUCACACAGUGACGGUAACUAACCAGAAAGGGACGGCUAACUACGUGCCAGCAGCCGCGGUAAUACGUAGGUCCCGAGCGUUGUCCGGAUUUAUUGGGCGUAAAGCGAGCGCAGGCGGUUCUGUAAGUCUGAAGUUAAAGGCAGUGGCUUAACCAUUGUACGCUUUGGAAACUGCGGGACUUGAGUGCAGAAGGGGAGAGUGGAAUUCCAUGUGUAGCGGUGAAAUGCGUAGAUAUAUGGAGGAACACCGGUGGCGAAAGCGGCUCUCUGGUCUGUAACUGACGCUGAGGCUCGAAAGCGUGGGGAGCAAACAG
rnacentral:rRNA from 1 species